rnacentral:rRNA from 1 species
UACGUAGGGUGCGAGCGUUGUCCGGAAUUACUGGGCGUAAAGGGCUCGUAGGCGGUUUGUCGCGUCGGGAGUGAAAACCAGGUGCUUAACACCUGGCUUGCUUUCGAUACGGGCAGACUAGAGGUAUGCAGGGGAGAACGGAAUUCCUGGUGUAGCGGUGAAAUGCGCAGAUAUCAGGAGGAACACCGGUGGCGAAGGCGGUUCUCUGGGCAUGACCUGACGCUGAGGAGCGAAAGUGUGGGGAGCGAACAGG